AACUGGGAAUGGCUCAUUAAAUCAGUUAUGGUUUAUUUGAUAGUCCCUACUACUUGGAUAACCGUGGUAAUUCUAGAGCUAAUACAUGCAAAAAACCCCGACUUCGGAAGGGGUGUAUUUAUUAGAUAAAAAACCAAUGCCCUCUGGGCUUUAUGGUGAAUCAUGAUAACUUAACGAAUCGCAUAGCCUUGAGCUGGCGAUGGUUCAUUCAAAUUUCUGCCCUAUCAACUUUCGAUUGGUGAGUAGUGUUCACCAAUGGUAUCGACGGGUAACGAAGAAUUAGGGUUCGAUCUCGGAGAGGACGCCCGAGAAAUGGCGUGCACAUCCAAGGAAGGCAGCAGGCGCGCAAAUUACCCAAUCCCGAUUCGGGGAGGUAGUGACAAUAAAUACUGAUGCAGGGCUCUUUUGGGUCUUGCAAUUGGAAUGAGUACAAUUUAAAUCCCUUAACGAGGAACAAUUGGAGGGCAAGUCUGGUGCCAGCAGCCGCGGUAAUUCCAGCUCCAAUAGCGUAUAUUAAAGUUGUUGCAGUUAAAAAGCUCGUAGUUGAAAUUUGGGCCUGGCUGACCGGUCCGCCUCACCGCGUGUACUGGCUCGGCCGGGCCUUUCCUUCUGGGGAAGCUCAUGGUCUUUAUUGACUGUGUGGGGAACCAGGACUUUUACUUUGAAAAAAUUAGAGUGUUCAAAGCAGGCCUUUGCUCGAAUACAUUAGCAUGGAAUAAUGGAAUAGGACGGCUUUCCUAUUUUGUUGGUUUCUAGGAGAGCCGUAAUGAUUAAUAGGGACAGUCGGGGGCAUCAGUAUUCAAUUGUCAGAGGUGAAAUUCUUGGAUUUAUUGAAGACUAACUACUGCGAAAGCAUUUGCCAAGGAUGUUUUCAUUAAUCAGUGAACGAAAGUUAGGGGAUCGAAGACGAUCAGAUACCGUCGUAGUCUUAACCAUAAACUAUGCCGACUAGGGAUCGGUGGAUGUUACUAUUUUGACUCCAUCGGCACCUUACGAGAAAU
rnacentral:rRNA from 1 species